AAAUGGUACAAAAAGAGGGCUCGGGGGGUAUAUAUACUAUACAAAUUGAUGAUGGUUUAUCAUCAUCAGAACAAAGAUCAGUCUAGGUCGAGAUGAAUGGAAGAUGCUUCUGGAACUAGUUUUUGAUAGGGUCUAUCUUAGCUCGAAGGAAAGAACAACCAAAGUUAGACCCCCAAAUAAUAUGGAUUCAAAUUAGUUAGUAUUUGACAAAGAACCUAACGGAAUUUAACAAGCAGUAACCGGAAUCAAAGUUUUCCAAAAUGGUGUCAACCGGUAAUAGAAUGUAGCUAGAUAACUGAUGCCACAGCAUCCAAAAUAUGUGGGAUGGAGUUCAUGGUACACUAACUUAACCUUCAAGGUCAGAUAGUGCUACAGUGAACAUCAAUCCACUAUCUAGCUCAAAAUUAGCCUCACGAACUACUAACACUAUUAUUCGCGUAGCCCUUUUUUGUUUUGUGCUAUUUCAUCAUAGGCUGUCGGAACUUGCUUCUUAGCGCUACGUGGGAAGAGAAUUUCUCUAUUCAGCCCCCCCGACUUCAAUUACAAACUCUUACUU
rnacentral:lncRNA from 1 species